UUUUCUUUUCUAAUAUCUAGCAUCGUCUUUCGAAUGUCCUUACACAUUACACGCUGCCGGAAGGAUUAUGAUCCUUCCAAGCAGCUCAUUAAUUGUUGACAGAAGUACGCUCAUUAAUUGUUGACAGAAGUACGCUCAUUAAUUGUUGACAGAAGAAGACAAAGGAAGCCUUCUGUACAUCGCUUACUAUGUGCCCAAAGUGUAUCUGAGAAAACGUAUUUUUCCUUUGAUUGCAAGACAUCAUCACCUGAAAUAUGACUUCUUUGUAAGAUUUUUCUUUAAUUUAUCACCAUGUUUUGAUGUUGUGAUAUUUUCACUUUAUGAUAUGCUAAUGAUUACAAUACAAAAAUCUUCUCCAUAAAUA